AGAGUUUGAUCCUGGCUCAGGACGAACGCUGGCGGCGUGCUUAAUACAUGCAAGUCGAGCGAGGUUACUGUUUUGGAUCCCUUCGGGGUGAAGAAGCUUUAACCUAGCGGCGGACGGGUGAGUAACGCGUGGGUAACCUACCCCAAAGUCCGGGAUAACAGCGGGAAACCGCUGCUAAUACCGGAUGCCUUUACCUUGGGGCAUCUUGAGGUAAAGAAAGGUAACGCUUUGGGAUGGGCCCGCGUCCCAUUAGCUAGUUGGUGAGGUAACGGCUCACCAAGGCGACGAUGGGUAGCCGGCCUGAAAGGGUGGACGGCCACACUGGGACUGAGACACGGCCCAGACUCCUACGGGAGGCAGCAGUAGGGAAUAUUGCGCAAUGGACGGAAGUCUGACGCAGCGACGCCGCGUGAGUGAUGAAGGUCUUCGGAUCGUAAAGCUCUGUCCUUGGGGAAGAAGGCGAAAGCUUGACGGUACCCAAGAAGAAAGCCCCGGCUAACUACGUGCCAGCAGCCGCGGUAAU
rnacentral:rRNA from 1 species